UACGUAGGGUGCAAGCGUUAAUCGGAAUUACUGGGCGUAAAGCGUGCGCAGGCGGUUUUGUAAGACAGGCGUGAAAUCCCCGGGCUUAACCUGGGAACUGCGUUUGUGACUGCAAGGCUAGAGUACGGCAGAGGGGGGUGGAAUUCCACGUGUAGCAGUGAAAUGCGUAGAGAUGUGGAGGAACACCAAUGGCGAAGGCAGCCCCCUGGGUCGAUACUGACGCUCAUGCACGAAAGCGUGGGUAGCAAACAGG
rnacentral:rRNA from 2 species